rnacentral:lncRNA from 1 species
ACCCCGAACUUGAACCUACCUGCAGCCCCACCUGGACCAGUUGGUCUGACGGUCCCGGUCUCGGUCAGAGUUGGACCGUGGAGGGAUGCCACAGAACCGAGGAGAGAAGUUCGCGUGUUAACGAGCCGGACCGAGAGGAGGUUCGGUUCGGACGGACCUGGAUCUAAAGCAGCUGCUGCCGUGGAUGGCAGCGGAGAGCCGCGGGACGGGUCCAGUCCGGGCGGAACCGGAGCGCUCCGAACCGGGAUCUGGGUCCGGAACCGGAGCUCCGCGCUGAGCCCGGAGAGAGCCUUGCUGUCUCAACAUGAUCUGACCUUUGACCUCUGACCUGGAAAACGAGCUGAUCCGGAGGGUGCAGCAGCAACAGCAGGAGUGUGACCCACAUCUCUGAGCGCUGACAGCACACAUCUGGAUGAGCAGGUGAUGGGUGAAGCUCGCACCUGCUGCCCCCCCCCCCCCUCUCACACACACACACACACCUGUCUGGAACAGGUUUGUUUACGCGGAGACAGGAUCCUGACCCUCCGGGGGAGCAAGAACAAUGCAUUCUGGGAAAACGGGGUUUUAUAACCCAGAGGUAGCUCUUCUCAUGUCCUGGAGCACGUGGCCGCUGUAAAACGCGUCAGUUCGACAUCCUGUGAUGGAACCGCUGCGGCUGCAGAUCCAGCGUGAAAAAGGCUUGUAGAUAACGGGAUUGGCGAGGAUGUGGUAACAGGAAGUCGUCUCUCUGGGUCGUCACAAUAAAGGCUUGUCAUUUUAUGGAAACACGCCGAAACCUUAACUUGUUUUGAUCUCAUCUUCAAAAAGCACAACCAGUUACGGCUCAGUAUUUGUCCGACAGAAUUUUAGACGCUUUCGUUUGCUUUACUAUGGCAGCCAUCUUGGAUUGGGUUGAGUCCCCAGAGUUAGAUUCAGGAUGAUGGUUUCGUUACGUCUACGACACGGAUGACACUCGUUCACACCCACCCGACAAACAAAGGUCCUCUGAGCCGAGUCAGAGCCAACGACACGGGGCCAGAUGGUGAAAAGUCACUUUUUUCUCUUUUGUUUGUAACGUUGAUUCAAACCUGUGAAGAUUCACAGAUUUAAGGUCCAGGAAUAGUUUAGCUUCUCGCUCUGCCCACAGAAGCGUGGUUUGGGUUUUUGUUCUGGACGUAGAAAGCCUGAGGGCGGUGGAGCACUGGGAGCUGCCCAGUAGGACCACCAUCUGCUGCUCGGCAUCAUGGGAGAUCCAUGGCACCUCCUCGGAGAAAGGCUCCUCAGACUCGAGUCACUGAAGUCACACCUCAUGUUUCUAAAAGUCCAAGUCACCAUGAAAAUGAUCUGAUGUUACGUUUUUACUUCAGUUUAAUAAAUAUUUGGUUUUUCACCCAAAUAGAAUAAUUCACAUGAAUCUGUUGAACUAGAAACUCGACAUGAUUUAGUCAUAAAUCUGCUUCAGAUGAAUAAAAAGAACCAAAACGUCUGAAAACGAAGGUUUCCGUACAACCCUGAAGGGACAAUGGUUUAAAUACAGUUACCUGUGUGUGUGUGUGUGUGUGUGUGUGUGUGUCUGUGUGUGUCUGUGUGUGCGU